rnacentral:rRNA from 1 species
UGGGGAAUAUUGCACAAUGGGGGAAACCCUGAUGCAGCGACGCCGCGUGAACGAAGAAGGUAUUCGUAUCGUAAAGUUCUGUCCUAUGGGAAGAUAAUGACAGUACCAUAGAAGAAAGCUCCGGCUAAAUACGUGCCAGCAGCCGCGGUAAUACGUAUGGAGCGAGCGUUGUCCGGAAUUAUUGGGCGUAAAGGGUACGCAGGCGGUUUAAUAAGUCGAAUGUUAAAGAUCGGGGCUCAACCCCGUAAAGCAUUGGAAACUGAUAAACUUGAGUAGUGGAGAGGAAAGUGGAAUUCCUAGUGUAGUGGUGAAAUACGUAGAUAUUAGGAGGAAUACCAGUAGCGAAGGCGACUUUCUGGACAAAAAAUGACGCUGAGGUACGAAAGCGUGGGGAGCAAACAGG